rnacentral:rRNA from 1 species
GGGGAAUUUUCCGCAAUGGGCGAAAGCCUGACGGAGCAAUACCGCGUGAGGGAGGAAGGCUCUUGGGUUGUAAACCUCUUUUCUCAGGGAAUAAGUACUGAAGGUACCUGAGGAAUCAGCAUCGGCUAACUCCGUGCCAGCAGCCGCGGUAAUACGGAGGAUGCAAGCGUUAUCCGGAAUGAUUGGGCGUAAAGCGUCCGCAGGUGGUUUUUCAAGUCUGCUGUCAAAGAAUCUGGCUCAACCAGAUAAAGGCAGUGGAAACUGACAGACUAGAGUAUGGUAGGGGUAGAGGGAAUUCCUGGUGUAGCGGUGAAAUGCGUAGAGAUCAGGAAGAACACCGGUGGCGAAAGCGCUCUGCUGGACCAUAACUGACACUGAGGGACGAAAGCUAGGGGAGCGAAUGGGAUUAGAUACCCCCAGUAGUC